AGGGAGGGAGAUGGGGGUGCCCGGGCAGAAAAUCACUGCUAAGCUGCUGCUUUCUCCUUYGCGGCACAGGAGGAAGAAGUGAAGGAGAUGGUCAGAAGUGAGAUGAGUGGCAGAUGCGGUCUACGGGCAGCUAAAAUCAACAGGAAAUUCCAAGGGUAUUUUCAGUCUCGGGAACGCACAAGGAAGGAUAGUGAAAGCUGGAAAGAACUGCUUAAAAAAGCUCAGAACAUGACAACAUCAGCAACAUCGGAGGAGUCCUUCAUGGAACCAACUUCAUUUCUUACAGCAGCUUCCAGUGAUAAGCAGAUAAUGGAGCCCUCUCAGCACAAGCGCCACGAAGCCCACAGUCAAUUACCAGCACCYUGCCUGCAGCCGAUGGAUGAAGGCUCCUGCCAGCGGUACGCUCUGCUCUGGUAUUACCACCCGGAGGCAGAUGCCUGCCGGCCGUUCGUCUUCGGGGGAUGCCRAGGGAACGGCAACCGGUUUGAAACCAAAUGGAAGUGCGAGCAGCAGUGUAAAACGGCAGCAGCCACCAGGGACUCAGGGCAGAGUCCGAAGCUGGCGGAGCRGCACUGAUCCAGACCAUCUAGUGAGCAGUCCGCAGCACUCCCUGCAUCCAGAGUCGGGCCUCAUCCAGCGGGUCACUGGACAAAACUCACUCCUGGAAGCACAUCCAGGCUCCUGUUUGCUGUGUUGGUCUGCACAGCUCAUCCUCCUCUCUGGAGGAAGCUUGGCCGCUCGCYGCAGGGGAAAUUACCUCCUGCAACUGCUGGCCCUGACAGCAGUGCAAACAUCACUGCUGCUGAGCAGUGUGUUAGCUGCCACUGAUGCAAGCUUUCCUAGAAGGAUGUUCCUCUGUCAGUCUUUUCUCUGCGUGGAGAAAACUCUCUGGGCCGAAAGMGAAAUGCAUUAGUUCUCCAAAAUAAAUUUUAAAAAUUCUAAUGGGGUUCA
rnacentral:lncRNA from 1 species